rnacentral:rRNA from 1 species
AGAAUCAACGCUGGCGGCGUGCCUAACACAUGCAAGUCGAACGAGAAAGUGGAGCAAUCCAUGAGUAAAGUGGCGACCGGGUGAGUAACACGUGACUAACCUACCUUCGAGUGGGGGAUAACCCCGGGAAACCGGGCUAAUACCGCAUAACAUCGCAAGAUCAAAGCAGCAAUGCGCUGGAAGAGGGGGUCGCGGCUGAUUAGCUAGUUGGCGGGUAACGGCCCACCAAGGCGAAGAUCGGUA